rnacentral:rRNA from 1 species
GACGAACGCUGGCGGCGUGCUUAACACAUGCAAGUCGAACGGAAAGGCCCUGCUUUUGUGGGGUGCUCGAGUGGCGAACGGGUGAGUAACACGUGAGUAACCUGCCCUUGACUUUGGGAUAACUUCAGGAAACUGGGGCUAAUACCGGAUAGGAGCUCCUGCUGCAUGGUGGGGGUUGGAAAGUUUCGGCGGUUGGGGAUGGACUCGCGGCUUAUCAGCUUGUUGGUGGGGUAGUGGCUUACCAAGGCUUUGACGGGUAGCCGGCCUGAGAGGGUGACCGGCCACAUUGGGACUGAGAUACGGCCCAGACUCCUACGGGAGGCAGCAGUGGGGAAUAUUGCACAAUGGGCGGAAGCCUGAUGCAGCAACGCCGCGUGCGGGAUGACGGCCUUCGGGUUGUAAACCGCUUUCGCCUGUGACGAAGCGUGAGUGACGGUAAUGGGUAAAGAAGCACCGGCUAACUACGUGCCAGCAGCCGCGGUGAUACGUAGGGCGCGAGCGUUGUCCGGAUUUAUUGGGCGUAAAGGGCUCGUAGGUGGUUGAUCGCGUCGGAAGUGUAAUCUUGGGGCUUAACCCUGAGCGUGCUUUCGAUACGGGUUGACUUGAGGAAGGUAGGGGAGAAUGGAAUUCCUGGUGGAGCGGUGGAAUGCGCAGAUAUCAGGAGGAACACCAGUGGCGAAGGCGGUUCUCUGGGCCUUUCCUGACGCUGAGGAGCGAAAGCGUGGGGAGCGAACAGGCUUAGAUACCCUGGUAGUCCACGCUGUAAACGGUGGGUACUAGGUGUGGGGUCCAUUCCACGGGUUCCGUGCCGUAGCUAACGCUUUAAGUACCCCGCCUGGGGAGUACGGCCGCAAGGCUAAAACUCAAAGGAAUUGACGGGGCCCCGCACAAGCGGCGGAGCAUGCGGAUUAAUUCGAUGCAACGCGUAGAACCUUACCUGGGUUUGACAUGGAUCGGGAGUGCUCAGAGAUGGGUGUGCCUCUUUCGGGGUCGGUUCACAGGUGGUGCAUGGCUGUCGUCAGCUCGUGUCGUGAGAUGUUGGGUUAAGUCCCGCAACGAGCGCAACCCUUGUUCACUGUUGCCAGCACGUUAUGGUGGGGACUCAGUGGAGACCGCCGGGGUCAACUCGGAGGAAGGUGGGGAUGACGUCAAGUCAUCAUGCCCCUUAUGUCCAGGGCUUCACGCAUGCUACAAUGGCUGGUACAGAGAGUGGCGAGCCUGUGAGGGUGAGCGAAUCUCGGAAAGCCGGUCUCAGUUCGGAUUGGGGUCUGCAACUCGACCUCAUGAAGUCGGAGUCGCUAGUAAUCGCAGAUCAGCAACGCUGCGGUGAAUACGUUCCCGGGGCU